UACGUAGGGACCAAGCGUUGUUCGGAUUUACUGGGCGUAAAGGGCGCGUAGGCGGCAUAUUAAGUCAGCUGUGAAAUCUCCGAGCUUAACUCGGAACUGUCAGCUGAUACUGAUGUGCUAGAGUGCAGAAGGGGCAAUCGGAAUUCUUGGUGUAGCGGUGAAAUGCGUAGAUAUCAAGAGGAACACCAGUGGCGAAGGCGGCUCACUGGCCCGGUACUGACGCUGAGGUGCGAAAGCGUGGGGAGCAAACAGG
rnacentral:rRNA from 1 species